rnacentral:piRNA from 1 species
UCCAGAGAAAUAAGAGUGAUAAAGGAGCUG